rnacentral:rRNA from 1 species
UGCGUAGGUGGGUUGGUAAGUCAGUGGUGAAAUCCCCGAGCUUAACUUGGGAACUGCCAUUGAUACUAUCAGUCUUGAAUACCGUGGAGGUCAGCGGAAUAUGUCAUGUAGCGGUGAAAUGCUUAGAUAUGACAUAGAACACCAAUUGCGAAGGCAGCUGGCUACACGAAUAUUGACACUGAGGCACGAAAGCGGUGGGGAUCAAACA